UACUGCUGUUAAACGAGUGGAUGGGUUUUACUUUUGCAGACUGACAUUAUUAAAGCCAUCGCCCGUCUGAUUGAAUUCUACAAGCAUGAGAGUUGUGGCCAGUGCACACCGUGCAGAGAGGGAGUGGACUGGAUGAAUAAGAUGAUGUGGCGUUUUGCGAGUGGUGAUGCACGUUCAGCAGAGAUAGACAUGAUUUGGGAGAUCAGCAAGCAGAUUGAGGGGCACAGUAUCUGUGCACUGGGCGACGGUGCGGCGUGGCCUGUGCAGGGAUUGAUCAGGCACUUCCGACCUGUCAUGGAAAGCCGAAUUGCUGAAUUCCAGCAGCAGAAGCAGGCAAGGGUUUGAACGGCUUCUUCAAGUCCUUGAUCUAAUUUUCCUUCGCCCAGAACCCUGUGUUUGUCUUUCACAGAUUAUUUAAAGAAAAGAGAAUGUGCCGUCUUAUCAACUCUUCAUCAAGCGUUGCAUUGAUGUGUCUGCCUUGUGAAACAAUAUUACCAAUAAAGUUCUAUGAUACUUUAAUAAAGACUUAUUCUUUU